UGAAUACUCCCUCCAUCCCAAAAUAAGUGACUCAAAAGUGACUCAACUUUAUACUAAAGUUAGUAUAAAGUUGAGUCAUUUUUGAGUCACUUAUUUUGGGACGGAGGGAGUAUUAU
rnacentral:pre_miRNA from 1 species